GCUGGUGUAGCUCAGAUGGCCAGAGCGCAUCCUUGGUAAGGAUGAGGUCGGCGGUUCAAUUCCGCUCACUAGCU
rnacentral:tRNA from 1 species